GGGAGUAACGGCUGUCAGGAUUAUUGGGCGUAAGAGCUCGUAGGCGGUCUGUCGCGUCUGGUGUGAAAACUCGAGGCUCAACCUCGAGCUUGCAUCGGGUACGGGCAGACUAGAGUGCGGUAGGGGAGACUGGAAUUCCUGGUGUAGCGGUGGAAUGCGCAGAUAUCAGGAGGAACACCGAUGGCGAAGGCAGGUCUCUGGGCCGCAACUGACGCUGAGGAGCGAAAGCAUGGGGAGCGAACAGGAUUAGAUACCCUGGUAGUCCAUGCCGUAAACGUUGGGCACUAGGUGUGGGGCUCAUUCCACGAGUUCCGUGCCGCAGCAAACGCAUUAAGUGCCCCGCCUGGGGAGUACGGCCGCAAGGCUAAAACUCAAAGGAAUUGACGGGGGCCCGCACAAGCGGCGGAGCAUGCGGAUUAAUUCGAUGCAACGCGAAGAACCUUACCAAGGCUUGACAUGCACGGGAAGCCACCAGAGAUGGUGGUCUCUUUGGACACUCGUGCACAGGUGGUGCAUGGUUGUCGUCAGCUCGUGUCGUGAGAUGUUGGGUUAAGUCCCGCAACGAGCGCAACCCUCGUCCCAUGUUGCCAGCGGGUUAUGCCGGGGACUCAUGGGAGACUGCCGGGGUCAACUCGGAGGAAGGUGGGGAUGACGUCAAAUCAUCAUGCCCCUUAUGUCUUGGGCUUCACGCAUGCUACAAUGGCCGGUACAAAGGGCUGCGAUACCGUAAGGUGGAGCGAAUCCCAAAAAGCCGGUCUCAGUUCGGAUUGGGGUCUGCAACUCGACCCCAUGAAGUCGGAGUCGCUAGUAAUCGCAGAUCAGCAACGCUG
rnacentral:rRNA from 1 species